UGUAUUGCAGUCCUAUUGCAGCACUUCUAAUUUCCUCCUUCAAUAACAGGGGAUAAUGAGCUCCGAGAGACACUGAAGUUGUCAAUUAAAAAAAGGGGACAUGUGGGCCCCGUUUUAUUUUUCUUUUUUCUUUUCCCCACUUAAACAAUAAUUAGGGAGAAUGGGGUCAUAUUAUAAUAUCCAAAACAUUGAGGAAGGGAGUCAAAUUAUAUUAUCACAACUUUGAGAAAAAACCCCAAAAUUAUAAGCUUUCUUCCCCUCUCACCUGUAUCGAUUCAACACUCCAAAAGAAAAAAAAACCCUCUCUCAAUUUUCUACUCUCUGUUCUUUUUUGGGAUUUUGGCUAAAGUUUCACUUGGAGAUUAUCAUCUUGCGGCAAUAUCAGGACUGAGCAUUUGAAGCUAUUCUGGUAGUUCAACAGCUAGCUAAGGAUCCUUCACUUGAGAGGUCAAUGCCAAGAAUGAAUAAAUGGUUGUCCACAAAACCAGCGAGAAAGACUAACUCUAACUUGGCAAAUGUUGAUCCUCUUGAUCAGACAAGAAAAGAGGAGUAUCUACUUCCCUACCAAGAUCAGCUACAUACGUGUCUUCUCCUGCCCCACCAAAGGAUCUACAAAUAUUAAAGUCCACUCGUGGUUUAAUGGUUUGGAUAGUAGCUCUCUGCGCACCAAUAUUUAUCACCAUCUACUCAACACCAUAAUCUCUCACAACACUCUUCUCACCACCAGCUCUCUCAAGACUCUCAUCACCACCAAUUUUAUCUAUUUAUAAAGUUGUUACAUGUGCCAACUCAGCUUUUUAAAAUAUCAAUGUUUUGAUCCAAACUAUCUUCAAAGGGCGUAAUAUCUUAAAUAUAAUCCAUCCUUUUCUCUAUGUUUGUUGGAAAAAGAAAAGGGUGCACAAUCUGAUUUUGAAUCUGCAAUGAAGAAAAUGAGUAUGAAUAUUCAGUAAACACAAAAACCCAUCAAGAAAGGACAAAAAAAUAAUAAAAAUCAGCUAAAUUUCAUUUCUAGGCCCAUUACUGUUGAUAACCCCUUAGAUGAAGGAGUUGAUGAAAAGGAUGUUGUGGCAAUUGGGAAAGUUGGGUCUAAGGUUAAGGUUACAGUUCCAUUGAAAGUAGGUUAUGAUUAUUCAAAGUUGCAUCAUUUGGGAGAAGGAAUUAUGUAAUGCAUGAAGCUUUCUUAAACUCCCUAGUGUAUAAGCACUAUAACACCAAUGAGUCCAAGAAGAAGGAGAAAACAGAAGUAAUUGCAAGUUUCUAAAUAGGGUAGGUAAGCACUUAUCUAACGUUAUAUAAAAAAAAAAUCAUGGAAUAAGAUCAAGCAAAACCCAACAGCAAAAGGUGCACAAGGUUGAAAGAUCCUAAACAAGAUAACUUUCUAUUGUUCAGGAAAGAGAGAAUACUUAUUUGGAGUACUGGAAAAACGAAGGAUUAGUUUCUACUUCUACUUCCAUUUGCAUUCAAUUUUGACUAAAGUAAAGAAAAAUAAAGAAAUAAGAGGUAUAACCAAUCAAGUUUGAACAUUUAAAGUCAGGCAAGUGUGCAAAAGUGAGUCCUUAAAACUUCAACUGAGAGUAUAAGUGACUGAAAGAAACAUUACAUUAGCAGAUCAAACGGAUUGACCAACUGGUUACAUCAACGAUAAACUUGAAUAUGCACAUAGUUCUGAAGCAAGGGAAGAAACUUAAAUAUUUUAAGUUGUAUCAUGUAUCAAAUCUCCCGUUUAAUUAUGGGGUAUCUGUAAACUUAAUAAUGCCUUUGUUUUUACUAAAGAACAAUAAUUACCAACAUAAAAUCGAAGCAGUUGUGGGAACAACAAGUUCAGUUGCCCAACAACUGUAGUUGAUGUCCCCACUAUUGCAAAACACAAUUGAAAUUAUUUAGAUGUAAACUCUUACCUCUUUUCUUGCCUGAUCAAGAGGAUCAACAUUUGCCGAGUUAGAGUUAGUCUUUCUUGAUGGUUUGGCGGACAACCAUUUAAUCAUUCUUGGUCUUGAACUCUCAAGUGAAGCAUCCUAAGCUAGCCGUUGAACUGCCGGAAUAGCUUCAAAUACCCAAGCCUAUGUAAUAAGUAAAAUGCAGUUUAGUGUACAUAAAAUCAAAAUAAUAAUUUAAGUCAAAACCAUCAAAGGUUAUAUUGGUUUUUGGUUGGAUUCAAUUCUUUUAAAAUAUAUUCAAUAGUAAGAUUGAAGCUUAUUCGACCCCAUGGAUAUGAAUCAAAUACAUUUUGGUUCGACGCCAUUUUUAACCAAUUGGUGUCUACCUUUUUUUUUUUUUUUUUGUAACUUUUGCACAUAAUAUGCUAUGUAAGAACCAAACCACACUCACAGCCACCUUCUAUUUUUUUGUCAAGUUUGAAUCCUUCAUAUUCUCAAUGAGACCAUCACCAUCAACAGACUUCCCCACUAUAUCUACCAAACUUGUACCCUUUUCUUCAACUUUGCUAACUGCUGACUAAGAAGGGGGAGAGAAUGGGAUCGAAGUCCAGUCAUGAUAGUGUUCAUUGAUGCCGAAACAAAUAGACAAGCCAUUGUAAUCACACCAAAUUUCCUUUUUCUUUUCACAAAAAAUUCGGCGAAGAAGAAGGUCGUGCACCAACUUCAUUGGGAGAUGUACUGCUACAUCUUUACAAGUUUUUCUGAAACCAUACUAAAUACGUUGAUCGAUCAAAAACUUUCUAAACUCAACAAAUUGAGUUCCAAAGCCGACUCUCACAUUGAUCCUUUAAUCAUAGGCCCAGACAUAUUCAAGUGGGUCUUAAAUCCAUACUUUUCAAUGGAAAUGGUCUUCAUGCAUUCUGGAACCAAAAGAGCAUUGGGAUCACUAUUAUUAUCUAAUGAUCCAGUACCCUUUGAAUUAUCACCACCACUAGUAUCAUUACUUGAUCCAGCAACGGCUACUGAUUUAGCAUCCUCUUGAUCUUGUCAUUGUUUUUUUUUCUAUUUUCUAUCCUUUCUAAUGUAGUUGUCGUCGAAUCCUCAUCGAAUUUCUUAGCUGAUGUGCUAUUCUCAUUUAUUUUUUCUCUAACUUGAUUACCACCCAUGUCACCAACCAUAGUUGUAUCUUCUUCUUCUUCACCCAAAUGCUCAGUUGCACUCUCACCUGUUUUUUCCUCUUCACCUGAUUGCUCAGUUGCACUCUCACCACAUUUUUCCUCUUCACCUGACUUUUCACCGCUACUCUUAAGAGUUUAUUUUUCACCAAUCAAUUGCUCAUUGUUUAAAGGUAUCACCAUCUCCAAAGGGGCAUAAGCAAGAGUCUCACUUGCUCGGGCUGCUUCAUAAGUCAGCUUAUGUACUAAUGUGAUAUCUCUUUUAUUAUGUGCAAUAAGUUGUUUUCUAGCAGCAGCUAAGCUUCUAGAUUUUUUACUAGCAUCAGGACAAGGUGACAUGGUUUUCUUCCUCUUAUGUUGGCCCAUUUUAUCUUAUCUACACAAAAAAAUAGUUAAAAUUAGUAAAUGAUACAAUUUAAUAAUACCAAAAAAAAAAAGUUGAACAACAACUGUAUUUGUAACACAACUUCUAAAGUUGUGCCAGUAAUAAACAAAGUUGCCCUAUGCCUAAGCAGCUGAUCGGAAGAGAACUCACAGAAUCGGUUGUUAAAAGGUCUCUAUUAGAAGCGACAAAGUUUGUUAACAACUUUUGCAUCUGUUCCAAUGAUUGUUGCAGUUGCUAGAACAACUACAGAAGUUGUUCCAGCAACUGAAAAAGUGGUUAGGGACAUGUUGUAUCAAAUUUGAACCAAUUAAAUUUUCUUUUUAAUACAACCAAUAUAUUGGUGCUAAAUUUCAACCCAAAAUAAUAUAGUUGGUGCUAAAGUUCAACCCAGAACAAUUUUCUUUUUAAUACAACCAAAUCGUAGCUAAUUACAAUAAAAGAAGUAUUGAGAGAUGGAAAAUUUUGCAUGAUAAUAACAAAAUCGUAACCAACAAGAGCAAAAUCAAAAUUCAUAAUCUUUAUCUUCUUCAUUAAAUCCUAGUUCUAAUAGUUUGAAGUAAACAAGAUAAAGGAAAUUUACUUGAUAUUUUGGCAAGAUGAUAAUCUUGAAGUGAAUCUUUAGCUAAAAUCCCAAAAAAAAGAACAGAGAGUAGAAAAAUGAAAGAGAUUUUUGUUUUUUUUGGAGUGUUGAAUCGAUACAGGUGAGAGAGGAAGAACGCUUAUAAUUUUGGGUUUUUUCUCAAAGUUGUGAUAAUAUAAUUUGACUCCCUUCCUCAAAGUUUUGGAUAUUAUAAUAUGACCCCAUUCUCCCUAAUUAUUGUUUAAGUGGGGGAAAGAAAAAAGAAAAAUAAAACGGGACCCACUUGUCCCCUUUUUUUAAUUGAAAACUUCAGUGUCCUUCUAAGCUCAUUAUCCCCACUUUCUUUCUAUUCUCUGUUCUUCUGUACUGUAGAUAUCAAAUUUCUUUGGCCUUGUCUCUUCGUUUCCAUGUUUUUCUGAUAUGUUACUAAUUUUUGUCUUUGAAUUUGUCAAUAGAACGAAAGAGACUUCCGCUGCAAUUGUUUGCCCUAAAUUGGUAUGCGCAGUAGGUGGAUCAGUCCUUUCUGAAGAGUGAAGACAAAAGAUGAAAUAGGUGGACUUCCUUCGUGUUGUUUUUCUCUACAGUCGCGUGGUCUUGGGAAUUAUUGGUUUUCAGUGUUCGAUUCACAUUCGUCUCCCCUAUUUCUUCAAUAUGUAUCCACCCUGUUCCCAAAAGAUUAGCUUUUUGUUCUGUUUCUCCAUCUACGUGUAUCUGUGUUUUUUUUUUCUUUUUGUUUCUUGUGAGAUAAUUGUUGAAUUGAAUUUAUGUGUAUCUUUUAAUUUUUUUCUCUAAAAAAAAAACUCUUAUGAGUA